rnacentral:rRNA from 1 species
UACGUAGGAGGCAAGCGUUGUCCGGAGUUACUGGGCGUAAAGCGUACGCAGGCGGUCCAAUCAGUCUAUAGGGACAGGGCACAGCUUAACUGUGUCAGGCUUAUGGAAACUGUUGGACUUGAGGGCUUCAGAGGGAUGGGGAAUUCCGGGUGGAGUGGUGAAAUGCGUAGAGAUCCGGAAGAACACCAAAGGCGUAGGCACCAUCCUGGGGAGUCACUGACGCUCAUGUACGAAAGCUAGGGGAGCGAACGGG